CAGAAGCGUAUAUUAAUGUUGUUGCAGUUAAAACGCUCGUAGUUGGAUCUUGGAGAUGAGCGGAGCUCUGUCCACCUGAAGGUGAGUACGGACUCUCUCUCUCUGUAUUUGGUAACAGUGUAUGGUGGCUCUUAACUGAGUUUGCCAUUGGGUGGAGCGCAAGUGAAGCCUGGGCGGGCGUGCCGAGAGGAGGCUUGGGGUGCAAGCCCUGGGUCGCUCUGGUGCGGCGUGAUACUUUACCUCAUUUACUUUGAAAAAAAUAGAGUGCUCAAAGCAGACCUUAGGGUCAUUGAAUAAUUCAGCAUGGGAUAAUAGAACACGAGUGCGAGCUCAUUUGUUGGUAUUAUGGGUUUGAACUAAUGAUUAAAAGGGACCGUCGGGGUGGUUUGUAUUGAAAAGCUAGAGGUGAAAUUCUUGGAUUUUUUCAAGACAAACUACUGCGAAAGCAAUCCACUAGGAGGUUCUCAUUAA
rnacentral:rRNA from 1 species